GAUGAACGCUGGCGGCGUGCUUAACACAUGCAAGUCGAACGCACCUUCGGGUGAGUGGCGGACGGGUGAGUAACGCGUGAGAAUCUGCCCUCAGGAGGGGGAUAACGGCUGGAAACAGCCGCUAAUACCCCAUAUGCCGAGAGGUGAAACGAGUUUUCGCCUGAGGAUGAGCUCGCGUCUGAUUAGCUAGUUGGUGGGGUAAGAGCCUACCAAGGCAUCGAUCAGUAGCUGGUCUGAGAGGAUGAUCAGCCACACUGGGACUGAGACACGGCCCAGACUCCUACGGGAGGCAGCAGUGGGGAAUUUUCCGCAAUGGGCGCAAGCCUGACGGAGCAACGCCGCGUGAGGGAUGAAGGCCUCUGGGCUGUAAACCUCUUUUCUCAAGGAAGAAGAUCUGACGGUACUUGAGGAAUAAGCCACGGCUAAUUCCGUGCCAGCAGCCGCGGUAAUACGGGAGUGGCAAGCGUUAUCCGGAAUUAUUGGGCGUAAAGCGUCCGCNGGCGGUCUUGAAAGUCUGUUGUCAAAGCGU
rnacentral:rRNA from 1 species